AGCAGAGGCCUGUGUGGAGACCUGGCCUCCACCAACAGAGCCGAGAAAUGCCACUCGUUUCAGAUUCAACCAAAAUUGCAUGCGUAUGUAACUCCCAUGCACCCAGGCACAGGGCCACACUCUGUGCCUUCAGAAGCUUCGUCACAAGGAAUCUUCUCAACAGAGGUGUGAUUUAGAAGCUAUUCGUCUAAUUUUUCUACAUGUGGAAAUAGAACCCCUUCUCCCCAAUAGGCAAACUCAAAUUUUUCAGGGCGUGCAUUUGCCCCAACUUUGGGGUGGUGGCUUGGUUUGGCCGAAUGUGUUUUCCAAAGACUUCGUGGUCUGUUUUCUAGGCAAAGGCUGAACCCCGGGAGUGUGGAUUUGGCUCCUUUCCAGGAGUCCAGAGCAGGGACUUUCUUCAUGCCUUGUUCCAUAAAGCACCAGCUCUGUCCUAGGAGCUUGUGACAGGAGACCCUCAGCCAGCAGCUAAGGAGUGCACAGGACCCCAGCUCAGAGCCUGGCCUUGGCAAGGACCUCUGAGCAGGUCUGAAGAGGGGCUAAAGCCUAGGGUAAGCGCCAGGGGUGGGAUGUGGGUAGCCAAAGUCAGUCAUGACUGCAGGGUGAUUGCCAGAGGUUGGCCUUGUGCUAAUAAGGCCAGUUUAUACCAAGAACCCAGCCAGUCUCCAAGGGGGUACAGGGAUCAGGGUCCAGUCAUAGGAGGCAGAACUAAGCCAUUGUCAGACCCCCUCCCAGUGAGCUUUGGUUUAAGAUUCCAUUCCAGAAGGGGAUGGAUUGUGAAUUCCUUGAGACAGAAGCUGCUUUCUCAGGAUAAAGGAUACUUCUGUGGCCAGGAAAUAAAAAGACCGUGAAUGGGGUAGCCAUACAUCCACAUUUGCUUGGGACCAUCCCAGUUUACAUCUUUUGUCCUAAGGUAAUUAUUAGUGGUACCAUCUUUCAUUCUCAAAAGUGUUCCAAUUUGGGCAUCACGGGGCCUCCCUAACCAUGACCCAACAGACAUCAUGCCAAGGAAGGCAUUGAGCCUCAGCCGAGCACUUUGGAUGCUAAGGGUGAUCUCUGAGCCAAAGAUCUAAGAGGUGCUAUAAUUGACCCCUUCCCCUUCUCCCCUUAAUCUGUGUCACUCUCUCUUUGCUUCCUCUUCUCAGACACACUGGCUCUCUUUUCAGACCCUCAGACCCUCUAAACUCUUUCCUACCUCAGUGCCUUUGGCUUGCAGUUCACCGUGGCGGAAUGUCCCUCCAGAGGCAGGGUCCUUCUCAUCGCCCCUACACCUGCCAUGUCCCCAGAGAGGCCUUGGCUCAUCAUCCUAUCCAAAAGAGCUAUCCUUCAGUUUCUGAUUUCACCAUAUCCCUUUUCAUAAGUCAACCACUGCUGUGGCAUCAACAGUGCAAAAAUCUCAAUGAAUUGCAACAAUAAGUACUUAUUUUUCAACUUGCAUCCCAGGAGGACUGUAGGUCAGUCACAGCGCUGCAGGGCUCAGGGAUGCUCUACACACACACACCCCCAUUCUGGAUGUGCCUGUUUAGAUGUGCCAGUGUCAUGCCUUCUCACCUUCCAUGGGGUAAAGCAAGUCACAAGGCCAAGCCCAAAGUCAAUGUGGGUCAGAGGGCUCUUCCCAAAAGGAAGCAAGGCAGGGCAGAGAGGGAACAAAUGGCUCAGACAAAUGAUAAUAAGUGCAAUAAGCCAUGCUUAUGUUAUUUGUUGAUUGCCAGGUGCCCUCACUAGACUGUAAAUUUCCGAGAGCAAAAUGAUAUAUGUCUUGCUCACUGUCGUAGCUAUAGUGCCAAUCAGAAGUAAGUUCUGGUAAUAAUAAUACAUGCCAUCAUUAGAAAGUACUGGUUUCCUAUUUUUGUUGUAGUAACUAUCAAUCAUAUUAGUACUGGUGUUUCCAUAUAGACAAAGCCAACAUGGUAGGAAUAGGAGAGUUUCUGAUCCAGAAGACACUGGGCUACCCAGAGCCUGUUACUAUGGGAUUUCAUUCUACAGCCCUCAGGCUGGUGGGGUUGUAACUGAGGGUGGCUUUGGUACAGCUUUCCUCUGUUCCAGCUGCUAUAAUGACGUCACAGACUGGCCUCUUUUAUAAGGUACUGGGCCCAUGUAUAAGGGAUCCACCCUCAUUACUUAAGUAGCUCCCAAGAGUCCCCUCCUACUCAAACCAGCAUCUUUCAGCAUUAGAGUUUUAUCUCAUGACUUUGGGGGAACAGAAACACUCAGACCUUGGCAGGCCCUGAGGGGGAUGAGCCUGGUAUGCAGACUCUAUGGCUGCAGAUGGGAAGGAUAAAUGGAGGUUGAGAGGGGCCCACGCCACUCAACAGAAAGUGAUUCUUGACAGAGUUUUCCAGAUGGACAGGAGAGAACAGUCUAAAAAGAGAAGAUAGCCUGAGCAAGCCCUGAAGUUAGCCUUGCACAUUUGUAGGGCUGCAGUAGUUGAAUAUGGCUGGAAUGUUGGGGGCAGUGGGGGUGGAAAAAUCAAAAGAGCUUGGCAAGAACCUUUGGUCUUUCAGGGUGUUUUUGUGCCCUUCUGAGAAGUUUAGGCUUUAUCCUCUGUGCAACGGGAGUCUUUAAAGAGUUCGGAGCAGAGAUGAAACAUCAGGAGAAUCUGCGACUUACAGAAUUCACUCUGGAGCCAAUAUGUAGGAUGGAUUCAAAAGAAAUGAGAUUUAAAGGCGGAAAACCAGGUAGACGAUGGCAGUCGGAAGAGCCUUAACUUAAUAGGGGUGCGAUGAGGCUGUGACAAGUACAAGAGAUAUUGAAGAGAUAGGAUCAACAGAAGUUAGUUACGGACUGGAUUUGCGAGUGAGGGAAGAGGACUUGAUAGAUUUUGCUUAGGCAACUGGGUAUUGUCAUUCACGGAGAUAAGGAGUGAAGGAGGCUUAGGGAAAUAGAUAAAGAGAUCAAUUUUGGACACGCAUCCGAGGUGAGGGUGGGAUCUCAGAGAGAUGUACGUCAGACGGUUAUAUACCAAGUUCAAUGUGCGGGAGGGUCUGGGCUACCCAUAUUACUUAGGAGCAGGGCAUGCGGAAGGGUGGUGGGGAGGGAGAAGCCAGCCAAGGGCAAGCCCUUAACUGGGUGACGCAGGGCUGAAUCAUUCGCUGAUGCCAGGAAACAUGCCAGAGGCUGGAAUCCAGGAGACCCAGCCUUGGGAAAGAAGACUAGGAAUCCUGUUUGAGCCAUAAUUAGUUUAAUUUGCUCUGAUAAAAUCCAGACUCCUUCCCUGGGUCUAAAAGACCUCUGCUAGUGUUCCUAUUGUGGCUCCUUGGCUUUAGAACCCAACUAGUAUCCAUGAGGAUUCGGGUUCGAUCCCCGGGCUCGCCCAGUUGGUUAAGGAUAGGGUGUUGCUGUGAGCUGCGGCGUAGGUCACAGAUACAGCUUGGAUCUGGUGUUGCUGUGGCUGUGGUGUAGGUCAGCUGCUACCACUCUGAUUUGACCCCUGGCCUGGGAACUUCCGUGUGCUGCCAGUGCGACCCUAAAAAGACAUAAAAAACAAAUAAAAGAUCUCUGCCAUCCUCUCCAACUUGUCUCGCAUUCCUAGCCCCAUUCUUCACCUGCUUCUGCACCAUCAGCCUGCCCCUCACCUACACCAAGUUCACUCCCACCUCAGGAUCAUGGUUCUUGCAAUUCCCUCUAUCUGGAGUGAUCUUCCCCUGGGACAGCUGGCUCCUUGUGGCCAAGCCACAUCUCAGAGGACGCCUCCUCAGACAGGCCAUCCCCAAUCCCCUUCUUGAAAGUGAGCCACCCCCACCCCAUUCACUCUUUCCUCCUCAUUCUGUCUGAUGUUCUUUGUCACCUGUUCGAAUAUAUAACUUCGUGAGGGCUGAGGACUUGCUGACCUGUCUGGUUGGUUGCCUGCCUCCCCCCACGUCUAGAUGAGCAUUUAUCAAACAGCAGCUGCUCCGUUAAUUAACUCGAGUUGGUGGGGGCCUUCCAAGACCUUGUAAUGUGAGAAGACGACCCUGAAACCAAUCCUUUCAUGUUCCAAGGUGUGAAAGUCAGAGAGGAGAGAAAGCGUUCACACGCCUGCGAAGGUGCCAUCAGAGCUGGAGUAGGUGUGACGGGAGAUAGAAGGGAAGCUUUCGGAAACGGGAGGGCUCAGCUCCGUGGAAUGCCCUGCUCACCUGAAGCAGGAUGCCAGUGCCCAAACAUCACCUGCCUGGGAGGUGGGGAUCGGACAAAACAAACAAGUCCAACAACUCAAGCACAAUUCAUGGCUUGUCCAUCAGACCACCUCAAACAUGACUCUAAGAGGACCUGUCCCGCACUUGGGAACCAUGUGCACAGCAUUGUCGUUCUCCCUGACGCUGCUUUUGGUGUGUGUCUGAGUUUCUAGAUGGCAUCAGUAGUCUCCUCAAAGAGAACCCGGCACUGACUUGAUCUCAUUCGUGAGACGGAUGAGCCGGGCUGGCUGACCAGAGUCAGCCCUCAUGUGUGUGACCUUGAAAACCUUGCCCAGCUUCCUCAGGACAAUGAAGUUAAAUAGUUAGGUUCACCAGCUCCAGCGCCAGAGACGUUAAAAUAACUCAGAUGAAAAUUACCGUACCUGGGCUUCUGAGCAGAAAGAGGUGAACGAAUUCAUUAGCGGGUUUGUAAAGCCUCUGCCUCCAGCUCAGCUCUAUUUUUCAUCAGCAGAGCUGCCUCAGUUUACUGGUCCAGAGACACACAGUGAAGCGAGAACAAUUUGAUUGGGUCUCUCCCGCUUGGGUGAGCACUGCUGGAGAAACUCGCCCAACCAGGCAAACUGGCGCUGCUACAAAUUCAUGGUCCCCAAUCUCAAUCAAGCCUGCAACAGUCCCCCGGAAUCCAUCUGUGUUUCUCAAGUCGUCUGUUCUCCUCUCCCCCGCUGGAAGCUAUCCCAAGCAUUCUCCACGCCCCUCCAUCCUGGGACUAGCCCCCCCCCUCACCUUAGCCUAGAGAAUGACCUUGUCUCUCACCUGGCAGGCAACGUCCUCAACUUCUAAAUUCCAAAGAUCCCAAGUCUGCAGACUGUACCUAUCUCCAUCCUUUCUUCUCUCACCUCCCCCUUUUUAUACUGGAAAUGCUCACUCCUCUCUCCCAUCAAAAACCAAUCCCCUUGUAGAUUACACAUCCCAUGUAGACUUUAGGGGCCUUCAAACACUUUUAAAGUCACAGUAAGAAAUGCAGUGCAGGAGUUCCCUUCGUGGCUCCAUAGUUAACAAACCCGACUAGGAUCCAUGAGGAUGCGGGUUUGAUCCCUGGCUUCGCUCAGUGGGCUUAAGGAUCCAGCGAUGCCGUGAGCUAUGGUGUAGGUCGCAAACGCAGCUCGGAUCCUGCAUUGCUGUGGCUGUGGUGUAGGCUGGCAGCUGUACCUCCGAUUAGACCCCUAGCCUGGGAUUUCCAUAUGCUGC
rnacentral:lncRNA from 1 species